UCAUCUGCAAGAGUUGUACAGUGAGAAAAGUCGCACAGCUUAUUUUGAAGUCUCUCAGAGACUAUUCAGAGUGAAAAUAUGUGAUGGAUACUCUGUCAAUGAUUAUUGUUUGACAAUGAUCAAGGACAUCGAAGAACUUUAGAAGCUCAGGAUGAACAUGGACAAGGAAUUGCAGGUAGAUUUAAUCCUCCAGUCUCUUUC
rnacentral:lncRNA from 1 species